GCGUUGAUGUUGGUAACUGUGCUGCUGCAACAAUUUACUUUCGUUUUUUUGCAGACGUUUACUGACACUGGUCAUAUUCAACCGGUGUUGCGCGUUCGUAAAUACGUCAAUUAUUCUGCGCUCUGGCACACUCACACGAGAGUGCUCUGAAAUCGGAGUAAAUAGCCAGAGUGAAUUUACGAAAGCACUCAAAAAUAAGAACUGAUAUUUCCUGGGGACAGAAAAAGCACCGCAUUAUAGGAUGGCCCAGCUAAGGUAAAUGGUAGCUACCUAGCUACUACUGACUACUUGCGCGAACUGUGAAAAAUAAAGAUACCCUGGGGAAUGACGAUAACCAACUAACGUUAGCUGGUGUUCCCCAUAUGAUGUACAUGUACUUUCACCCUGGGUCUGUGAUAUCUGCAUGAAUUUUCGCAUGAAUGUUCUGCUGUAAUUCAAAACCAAGCAGAGAUUGCCAGCUAGGAAUGACAAAAAGAUAGCUAGAGAACUAAGUUAACGCUGAAUAACUCGUUCAGUGCUAACGUUACUUAGCUAACUUAGAUAGCUCUCUUGUCGUCAUUUCUUGCUGGCAUUCCUUUGAGCUUAAGUACUAAACGAAACGAGCUGUAUUGCUAAUCAAGCAGAUACGGUAGGCUAGUGGAAAUGGGCAAUCCAAUUAAAGCUGGAUUUCCACCAACUAGCUUAGUACUAGGCCGUCUUGACGUCUCCACCUUUGUAGCUAGCUAGGUCAAUGGAAUUGAUUGUUAGCUAGCUACAAGCUAGCCUGCUAACGCUCAGUGAUUCUUCUACUUCGACAUUUAAUUGCAGUCAAAUAGUUACUUUUAUAUGAAGCUAGAUUGACAAAUAAUAUUAUAGCGACCUUACCUCGAUUGUAUCAACAACUACCCCAACAACUGUUUCAAAUCCUACUUCCCUAGCGCAGCGUUGACAAAAAAAACAUGAUCCGUUUUCUUCUUCUUCAAAUUUGUGUUGCCGAUUCGCAACCAACAUCAAGGUGCAUAGACCGCCACCUACUGUAAUGGAGUGUAAAGGCCGGUAAUUCUCCUAUCAAGCCCUUUUUCCGGCUACUGCUCUGGAGUGUGAAUUCAUUACACUUUGUGACACAAAAGGGAGCCUCUUAGGAUCCAUUGCCCUGGACCCAUCUCUUGGGCUCACAAUUGGCGCAGCGGUCUAAGGCACUGCAUCUCAGUGCUAGAGGCAUCACUACAGACACCCUGGUUCGAAUCCAAGCUGUAUCACAACCGGACGUGAUUGGGAGUCCCAUAGGGUGGUGCACAAUUGGCCCAGCGUUGUCCGGGUAAGGGUUUGGCGGGGGUAGGCCGUCUUAACUGACUUGCCUAGUUAAAUAAAGGUCCAUUUAAAAAAAAAAAUCCUAUACUACUCUUUUCACUGCCUCGGCAUAUGACACUGCAGGGUUGGGGAGUAAUGGAUUACAACAACAAAAAAUAACUGUAAUCCAUAAUGUUACCAGCAAAAAUAUUGUAAUCCGAUUACAGAUACUUUUGAAAAAAAUACAUGAUUACUUCUAGGAUUGCUUUUAAAUUUAGAAAGGAUGUGACACUUUUUUUUGACAGCUUUCCUUUUUCUCAAUUACAUUCAAAUCAGCGGUGAAAAAAGGCUCAAAUUGAAAUUUGUUCUGCCUGAGCGCGUCUGACCACAAGUCAGAGACCACUAAGAUGAUACACAAAAUGCGUUUGAUGGAUUGCAGGAAAUAGCAGGAAUAGUCUUUUGUAGGCUACAUUCCAAGCUACUGUAUGUCUUCCAAUGGAGCAGUGGUGAUUUUAGCAAGUAAAUCUUGGUAGGGCAAACUCAAUAUUUGUUUUGCCACAGCGCUAAACAAUACAUUAAUUGCACUAUAACGGCGACAAGCGGUGCCCACACACUGUUAGAGCCUACAUAAAGCUGUCCCAACAGCAGAGCUUUCUUUCCAGCACAAUGUAGUGAAUUCUUACCACCGCUACACCUGUCAAUCAGCGGAGCCUUGUCUGGCAGCGAAACAAUUAAUUCAGCCUUGUUUACUGCCUUU